rnacentral:rRNA from 1 species
GGGUUAAGUCCCGUAACGAGCGCAACCCUUGUCCUUAGUUACCAGCACGUUAUGGUGGGCACUCUAAGGAGACUGCCGGUGACAAACCGGAGGAAGGUGGGGGAUGACGUCAAGUCAUCAUGGCCCUUACGGCCUGGGCUACACACGUGCUACAAUGGUCGGUACAAAGGGUUGCCAAGCCGCGAGGUGGAGCUAAUCCCAUAAAACCGAUCGUAGUCCGGAUCGCAGUCUGCAACUCGACUGCGUGAAGUCGGAAUCGCUAGUAAUCGUGAAUCAGAAUGUCACGGUGAAUACGUUCCCGGGCCUU